rnacentral:lncRNA from 1 species
UCACUCUCUGCUGAUGUAACUGACCAUGACACAUGGCAGUUGAUCUCUUCUUUUCGAUCAGAUUCACUUGGUCGUAGCGACUCUGAAUCCAUUCAGCAUCAGUCAACUUGGGACUUUGAGGGUGCUAUUUUUCUUUUGUUUCUUUCUUUCUUUUUCUUUCUUUUGAUUUGGAUCUCUUUUGAUUUCUUUUGAUUUUGCACCCUCCUCUUUCUAUUUUUUUUUUGAUUUUUUUUUCAAUGCCCCAGUUGGCUGUUCUGCUGAUUCUCGAGAUGCAGCUGAGUGAUCUUCUUUUCUUGCUCAAGAAGUCGAGAAAUCUCGUCAGGAAUCCCUUCAACAUCAUCUUCUUCCGCUUCGAAUACAG